UUUCGGUAAAAAAAAAAAAACCUAGAGCCAACCAAAAAAACCCAAACCACCGUCGCCGUUGAGCUCCCACCGUCGCCAAUUAAGCUCAGCCGUCACCGAUGAAGCUCCCACCGUCGCUGAUGAAGCUCCUUUAAGAGCCAACCAUCGCCGAUUACGCUCAACGACGACUCUUUAGCUCGCUGUUGCAAUGAUUCAGCUCGUCGUUGCGACGAUUCAGCCAACCGUUGCGACGAUUCGGCUCGCCAUUGUGAUGAUUCAGGUCGCCGUUGGCGACACUUCAUCCUUCAGUUUGCAACGCUUCAUCUGGUGACGCUUCAUCCUUCAUUUCGUUUUGCUUCAUCUGGCAACGCUUCUGGCGACGCUUCCGGCAACGCUUGAGUUUCUUUGGUCUUUCUCUCUAAUUGGACUUUGUCAGGACUUGAUAAUUCCAGUGACAAAUUUUCACAAUGAAGACAAGGGCUUCAUGGUUUUAGCUGGUGAUGAUUUUGAUGUGCCUAUUAAAAAGGAUAUUGUGCACGUGUUGUACUAUGGCAGCUUGCAAAACGACAACAGGACCAAGAGGAGCGAGCUAGGGACCAAGAGGCGCGAGCUAAGCAAGAAGAGGUUCAAAAGAAUAUUCUUAACUUUUUGAGGAGUAAGGGUUAUGAUGAUGCUCUUACCUAUGGGGGUGCUUCAACUUCAAGUUAAACCACUUUUUGAUUUCUUAUUGGUGGCUUUGAAGGGAUUUACUUUUGGCAU